UGCAAGUCGAACGGUGAUGUCAGAGCUUGCUCUGGCGGAUCAGUGGCGAACGGGUGAGUAACACGUGAGUAACCUGCCCCCGACUCUGGGAUAACUGCUAGAAAUGGUAGCUAAUACCGGAUAUGACGACUGGCCGCAUGGUCUGGUCGUGGAAAGAAUUUCGGUUGGGGAUGGACUCGCGGCCUAUCAGGUUGUUGGUGAGGUAAUGGCUCACCAAGCCUACGACGGGUAGCCGGCCUGAGAGGGUGACCGGCCACACUGGGACUGAGACACGGCCCAGACUCCUACGGGAGGCAGCAGUGGGGAAUAUUGCACAAUGGGCGAAAGCCUGAUGCAGCAACGCCGCGUGAGGGAUGACGGCCUUCGGGUUGUAAACCUCUUUUAGUAGGGAAGAAGCGAAAGUGACGGUACCUGCAGAAAAAGCACCGGCUAACUACGUGCCAGCAGCCGCGGUAAUACGUAGGGUGCAAGCGUUGUCCGGAAUUAUUGGGCGUAAAGAGCUCGUAGGCGGUUUGUCGCGUCUGCUGUGAAAUCCCGAGGCUCAACCUCGGGUCUGCAGUGGGUACGGGCAGACUAGAGUGCGGUAGGGGAGAUUGGAAUUCCUGGUGUAGCGGUGGAAUGCGCAGAUAUCAGGAGGAACACCGAUGGCGAAGGCAGAUCUCUGGGCCGUAACUGACGCUGAGGAGCGAAAGCAUGGGGAGCGAACAGGAUUAGAUACCCUGGUAGUCCAUGCCGUAAACGUUGGGAACUAGAUGUGGGGACCAUUCCACGGUCUCCGUGUCGCAGCUAACGCAUUAAGUUCCCCGCCUGGGGAGUACGGCCGCAAGGCUAAAACUCAAAGGAAUUGACGGGGGCCCGCACAAGCGGCGGAGCAUGCGGAUUAAUUCGAUGCAACGCGA
rnacentral:rRNA from 1 species